rnacentral:tmRNA from 1 species
GGGGAUGAUCGGCUUCGAGGAAGGGCGGAACGGAACUUGCUCAGGCGGAGGACGCGAGGUUAGCUCCUAAAAACCCUCGCAACAAAGAAUAAGUGCAAACUUAUUUUCAAAGGCCUUUGCGCCUAGCUAUGCGCUAGCGUAAAGCUCUUCCCUGCUUUCGGGCGGGGCAUCCGUCUCUCUGAUUCUCGCUGAGGGAGAAACGGGUGUCAUAUUAGCGAGGCGUUGCUGAAAUCGCUCCGGUUCAGCAUCCGAAAAAGGGGCAAAAAAUUAAGCCUGUCAACCAAGCCCGGAAAACUUUUCCGACGCGGGUUCAAUCCCCGCCAUCUCCACCA